AUUGAACGCUGGCGGCAGGCCUAACACAUGCAAGUCGAACGAGUGGCGGACGGGUGAGUAAUGUCUGGGAAACUGCCAGAUGGAGGGGGAUAACUACUGGAAACGGUAGCUAAUACCGCAUACCAUCGGAUGUGCCCAGAUGGGAUUAGCUAGUUGGUGGGGUAAUGGCUCACCAAGGCGACGAUCCCUAGCUGGUCUGAGAGGAUGACCAGCCACACUGGAACUGAGACACUGUCCAGACUCCGACGGGAGGCAGCAGUGGGGAAUAUUGCACAAGGGGCGCAAGCCUGAUGCAGCCAGGCCGCGUGUAUGAAGAAGGCUGUCGGGUUGUAAAGUACUUUCAGCGGGGAGGCGUUACUCGCAGAAGAAGCACCGGCUAACUCCGUGCCAGCAGCCGCGGUAAUUC
rnacentral:rRNA from 1 species